rnacentral:rRNA from 1 species
AUACGUAGGGGGCGAGCGUUGUCCGGAAUGAUUGGGCGUAAAGGGCGCGUAGGCGGCCCGGUAAGUCUGGAGUGAAAGUCCUGUUUUUAAGAUGGGAAUUGCUUUGGAUACUGUCGGGCUUGAGUGCAGGAGAGGUAAGUGGAAUUCCCAGUGUAGCGGUGAAAUGCGUAGAGAUUGGGAGGAACACCAGUGGCGAAGGCGACUUACUGGACUGUAACUGACGCUGAGGCGCGAAAGUGUGGGGAGCAAACAGGAUUAGAUACCCUGGUAGUCCACACUGUAAACGAUGAAUGCUAGGUGUAGGGGGUAUCGACCCCUUCUGUGCCGCAGUCAACACAAUAAGCAUUCCGCCUGGGGAGUACGGCCGCAAGGCUUAAACUCAAAUGAAUUGACGGGG